UUCUCCCCUUAUUGAAGCCUUUAGCAACGACUGUAAAUAAAUGCGCAGUUUGCAUUCUGCAAGCAAUGCCACUCAAAUGCUGAGACUAUUGAAUCAGCAGCCUUUCAGGCUCACAGAUCAGAUAGUGGUAACCAAAUCCUUGGUCAAGAUAUGACCGGUCUUAACUAGAGUUAGUUAAGAAUCAACGUUCCGUAGGUGAACCUGCGGAAGGAUCAUUAAUAGUUUAGGGUACUAACCCAGUGCCCAAACUUCAACCCUUUGACUUAAUUAAUUUGUUUCUUUGCCGGUUUCGGCCGGCAGAAGUUUUCUCAAACUCAUUAGAAAUUUGUAUUCUGAAAUUCAAAUAAUAAUAAUUAAAACUUUCAACAACGGAUCUCUUGGUUCUG
rnacentral:misc_RNA from 1 species